AGAUUCUAGACUAGUUAUAUAUGUACAUAAAAUAUAUAAAUAAAAGAUAAAAUUUAUGCAGGCCUAGAUCCCAUAAAUUUAUAAUUGAUCCAGAUCUAUCAGUAAAAGUUACCUUCGACUGGAAGUUUUACCCAAUCUAAUCUAUACAAGACAAUUUAUAAUCCAUGCCUCGCCUACACCCCAUACAUUAAAUAAUAGUUCCCAUGCGGGGAUGGCUGCCUGGUCGUGCAGUUUGCUCGCUGGACUGUCGUUCGGAUUUAUCGACGGUCGAGGGUUCAAACCCUGCCCGAUCCCAUCCCCCGUCGUCCUGCGGGAGGUUUGGACUAGGAAGUAAACUAUCUUCAACUCUGAAGGAACAUCCGAAUUAUGUAAAACAUUUUACAUGCCCAGACCCAUGAGUUCAUGAAAUAAUAAAUGAUGUGGUGUCAAUUAUGGAUCUAUCCCCUGAAAUUCAGGACUUUAAUAUAAAACUCACAUAUCUAGUUAAUUAUUUGCUAUGACACUCUGAUCAACUUUGACUUGUGUGAUACAUAUAUGUUUCUUAUCAGAUUUAAUGAAUGAAGUUUUGGUGCAUUUUAAGGCUACAAAAGUAUCAUCAGGUGUAUUCUAACCAUUGGUAUUUUUCCUGGCAACAUUUCUUUUCUAGUCUGUGAUAAAUUAUAAAUUUAAAAAAAUGUUUGUAAUGUUUCAGUUAUUAACAAGUAGAACCAUGGCAACCAGUUCUGAUGAUGUACCAGAAUGGCUCAAGGAUCAUACUUAUACUAUUUCUACUCUCUGGGCAGACAUUAAUAAUAUUGGCAUCCAUUCAAUAUUUAUUUUAUAUUUGGAAAUGCAAGAAAAAGGCAUGCAUUCCUGACAAGUCAAUGAUUGGUUGCACCUCUAAAAGAUAACUUUCUGUUAUGAGAAAAGAUGAGAUUCUUGGACUCCUGCAUAGCACCACCAGAAAGGAAAAUCCCAUCAUAUUGCAAAAUAAAAGUCUUGGACCAAUUUUAAUUUAAGAUAUAUAUAUUAUACUGUAAGCUCUAUACAUAUUUAUGUGUAUCCUGUCAUUCAGCAAACAGGUUUGGAUUUAGUAUUUCUUUAAAUCUGUUUGAUAUUGUACUUGAAAACUAUUAAUCUGAGCCCCAUUAAAACAAUAGGGAGUGCAGUGAAUGAGUGGUAAAGCACUUGCCCUGAGUCCACCUAACUCUAAUGGGUAGCUGACUUUCGUUUUGGAAAAGUAAAAGAUGGUUGGUUGUUGUGCUGGCCACAUGAUGCACUGGCCAAAGAAUCAAAUGACCUUAACAUCAUCUGCCCUAUAGAUUGUGAGGUCUGAAAUGGGAUUUUUUUUCAAAAGGUGGUUGGUUGUUGUCCUGGGUACAUGACACCCUCGCUAACCAUGGGGCACAGAAACUGAUAAACGUUAUAUCAUUUGCCCCAUAGAUUGCAAGAUAUGUAAGGGAAAUUUUACUUUUUAAAAAUUAAAAUAAGAAUCAAACAAAAGUAAACAUAUAAAAUAUGGUGCAUUCUCCUUAAAACUAAAACCUGGUGCGAAGGUUUAAAAUGUUGGCAAAAAAAAGCAACAUCAUAUAUUCUUAAUUCCCUUUGCAAAACUUACUGAGAAGAACAUGCAUGUUGUUCCCUCAUAAGUUUCUUGACAGAGGAAAUCUUGUUUAUAUUAGAUUUGAAUUAAGCAAAUUAAGAAAAAAAUUAUAAUCAUUAUUUCAAAUGGUUGUAUCUAAACCUUAUGAAUUAUUUUUCAGUUAUAGGUAUAUUGAGAUGAAUGAAUAAUCAUGAAAUUGUUAAAUAAUUGCUGCUAUCAUUCCAUUGACUUAAGA